CCCUCCCCAAACCGCCCAACUUCUCCACCACGGUCAAAUCCCCACCAGCCCCCACCUCCCUCCUCCGAUGCACCUCGCCCCGAUCCACCUGCUGCUCUGCCGGGGAGGCACGCCGUCGUACCCGUCCGACGCGCCGCCCCAUCCCCACCGGCUUCUUCCCUCGCCGGCACCACAACCUUCUCCCCCGCCCCGCGGCCCCCUUCCCCAUCCGGCUUCUUCCCCGCUGGCAUGACGGCCUCCUCCCCCAUCUGGCAUCUUCCCCCGCCGGCCCCGCGGCCUCCUCCCCGGCGCCGCCACGCACCUGGCCGUGCGCCAGCCGGGGAGCGAACUCCCCUGCUCCCGCGCCUCCCUCGUGCUUACUUCUCCCCGCCGCCGCAUCGGGUGCAACCGGCGCUCCUGCCACUGCCUCGAUCUGGUACCAAAAAGGAGCUCCUCUCCGGCAGGGCAUCGGGCUGGGUCACCACAACCUGAUUCGUGUGUCGCGUGCCUCCUACAGCCCCAUCGACGAGACGUCGAGAUCAAAAGGGCUAGUGAGUCCCUUCUCCUCUGCCACAUCCUCCUCCUAUUUCCCUUGUGCUACCCUUCCUCCUCUCUGGGCACAACGAGCUCCUCCGAGGAGGAUCCACCACAGCCGGCCAACGGUGCUCGUCUUGGCCAAUAUGGGUCGAGGCCACCCAUAGGUGAGCUCCUGCCAGCAUCCUAGCUCUCCCGCCACAGACCAAUACCCCGAUGAGAUCCCUUGAUCAUUACCCCUCAUCUGUCAGCAGUUUCAGCGACGGGUACAGUUGUGGCCUGGGUCGCAUUCGUGCAGCUCAGUCCGCAUGAAUGAUGCCAUUCGCCGGAGCGUUGGCGUGCAGUUCGGUGGGCCAGCACAGAGUUGCUACUGCCUACGAUGGGGACGGUGGCUGAUGUGGGCAUGGAGCAGGAGGCUGCCGUCGCUGCCGCUCAAUUUUGACCAGCUCGUAUGAGCCCGCAACCACCCAACAAGUUCAGAGUUUGUGUGUUCAGUGCAGUACUACAGUGCAAAUUCAGUGCAGUACCCAUAGUGCAAUGUAGUGCAGUUUCAGUUUCAGAGUCUCAUUCGAGGCCUCGUGGUGCUAUCCUCACUUAACUUUUGGUGUGCAGUGUUGUUCGCCAAUGUACACAGUGCACUUCACCGACGUGUGCAGUGCGGUUUGGUUUGCUUGUUUGUGCUUUCUUCGGCGGUUUCACUGCAGUUUUGCAGCUCAGCAGCUCAUGUCAGACUUCUUCUGUAAAUUUUGAUGGACUAGGCUGUAAAAUUUUAAAAGAUUGAUGUAGCUCAUAUACUGAAAAGUUUGCUGGUUUU